GACGAACGCUGGCGGCGUGCCUAAUACAUGCAAGUUGAGCGCUGAAGGUUGGUACUUGUACCAACUGGAUGAGCAGCGAACGGGUGAGUAACGCGUGGGGAAUCUGCCUUUGAGCGGGGGACAACAUUUGGAAACGAAUGCUAAUACCGCAUAAAAACUUUAAACACAAGUUUUAAGUUUGAAAGACGCAAUUGCAUCACUCAAAGAUGAUCCCGCGUUGUAUUAGCUAGUUGGUGAGGUAAAGGCUCACCAAGGCGAUGAUACAUAGCCGACCUGAGAGGGUGAUCGGCCACAUUGGGACUGAGACACGGCCCAAACUCCUACGGGAGGCAGCAGUAGGGAAUCUUCGGCAAUGGACGAAAGUCUGACCGAGCAACGCCGCGGGAGUGAAGAAGGGUUUCGGAUCGUAAAACUCUGUUGGUAGAGAAGAACGUUGGUGAGAGUGGAAAGCUCAUCAAGUGACGGUAACUACACAGAAAGGGACGGCUAACUACGUG
rnacentral:rRNA from 1 species